AACAGUCACUUUCGGAGUGCUUUUGGCUACGUGCUAUGUACACGGAAAGCUUGGAGCUCCUGGAGGACCUCAGCAACUGCCUUACGUGGUGCCUGACAGCUUCAAGGUAUUCCAGAGCUUCGCUUUUGCGGUGGCUAUCUCGGACUCCGACAACGACACUAUUCUCGAAUGCAUGUCAGCCAACCGAACUGCUAUCAACCCAGAAGAAAUGACAGCUACUUAUACCUUCAAUUUUCCAAAUACACAAUUCCACUCAGAGAGAAGGCAUAAUUUACUACACUGACUACGUCAACUGCGAUGUAGUGGACUUGGACUUCCAUGGUCAUCAGUGCACACUAUGGGCAAGAAAAGAAGUGAAAGACAACGUGCCACAAAACUGCAUUGACUACUUCGUCGACACCUGUGGCGUCGUCGUCCCUCAACAUAGCAGAGACCUCUGCUUUGAUGGGGAAGGAGACUACAAAUAAAUUCU
rnacentral:lncRNA from 1 species